rnacentral:rRNA from 1 species
AGUGGAGAGCGGCGAAAGGGAGAGUAACGCGUAGAAACGUACCCCGAGGCCCGGAAUAGCGGUGAGAAAUCGCCGGUAAUGCCGGAUAACGUCUCUGGACCAAAGGUUUACCACCUGGGGAGCGGUCUGCGUUCUAUUAGCUUGUUGGUGGGGUAAAAGCCUACCAAGGCAAAGAUGGAUACCGGGCGUGAGAGCGUGACCCGGCUCACUGGGACUGAGACACUGCCCAGACACCUACGGGUGGCUGCAGUCGAGAAUCUUCCGCAAUGGACGAAAGUCUGACGGAGCGACGCCGCGUGCUGGAUGAAGGCCUUCGGGUUGUAAACAGCUGUCAUAGGGGAGGAAAUUUUGACCGAUCCUAAGAGGAAGCACAGGCUAAGUUCGUGCCAGCAGCCGCGGUAACACGAACUGUGCGAACGUUAUUCGGAAUCACUGGGCUUAAAGGGUGCGUAGGCGGCCAAGUAGGUCAGAUGUGAAAGCCCACGGCUCAACCGUGGAAUUGCGUUUGAAACCACUUGGCUUGAGUAAGAUAGAGGUAAGCGGAACUGAUGGUGGAGCGGUGAAAUGCGUUGAUAUCAUCAGGAACACCGGUGGCGAAAGCGGCUUACUGGGUCUUUACUGACGCUGAGGCACGAAAGCUAGGGGAGCGAACGGGAUUAGAUACCCCGGUAGUCCUAGCUGUAAACGUUGAGCACUAGCUCGUGCCCCCUCCCACAAGGGCUCGGGCGUAGCGAAAGUGUUAAGUGCUCCGCCUGGGA